UACGUAGGGAGCAAGCGUUGUCCGGAAUCAUUGGGCGUAAAGAGCGUGUAGGCGGCCCGGUAAGUCCGCUGUAAAAGUCAAAGGCUCAACCUUUGAAUGUCAGUGGAUACUGUCGGGCUAGAGUCCGGAAGAGGCGAGUGGAACUCCUGGUGUAGCGGUGGAAUGCGCAGAUAUCAGGAAGAACACCAACGGCGAAGGCAGCUCGCUAGGACGGUACUGACGCUGAGACGCGAAAGCGUGGGGAGCGAACAGG
rnacentral:rRNA from 1 species